ensembl:lncRNA
UUCUCCUGUCAUCAGUGUAUGAAUGGGUGAAGGAUGUCAUGUAGUGUUAAAGCGCUUUGAGUGGUCAGAAGACUAGAAAAGCGCUAUACAAGUACAGUCCUUUUAGCAUUUACAGCGGGCUGGUCUGAGGUCAGCACAGCAGAGAACCGCGCUGCGCUGACCCGUGUUUUAUUACAUACCAACAUGAUUUAUAUAGUGUUCCCACAUCUGUAUUCAGGUCAUUAUUGAGGGAACAUCACAACAUUAUGAUAUCCGACUGAAUAAAUCAUCGGACAUGAGACAUUUUUAGAGAUAGUCAAGCAUAACAGAAUUUUCCUCUCUUUUGUUUUUGUUUUCAACUUUAAUGAGAUUGGUACAAUUAUCUGUGUGUAAUGGGAACGAGGAUUUAGGACAUCAAUGCCCUAGUUAGCAUAGCUUAAUUGUAACUUGUUGAUGCUUUUUAUACUGUGUAGCCUUUUCCCCAAGACCACUAUAUGCAACGUGUGAUGAAGAGGUUGUCGAUUUACUUUCUUGUUUUUGUCUUAAAGGGUCAUCAGCCACAAAGGUUAUGAGCCGCUGAUCAAAACCACCUGAAAUGUUGACUAAAAGUGAUGGUCACAGCUACAAAGAUAAUACCACGCCUGUAUUCCACUGGAAUUUCCCUCUGAGUCGUGCACGUAUUUAGCAUUGUAUAUGUUCAACAUUGAUGGACGGUUGAAAAAAACAGUCGUAUUCCGGCGGUCCAGUGGUCUCGCUCUGAGAGCUGAAUUUGCAGAAAAAUCCUGACGCGUCAAUUGGAAUCAAUUUAGAAAACAGAGGUGCUAUUGACCCCAUCGGGGAACAACUCGGGAAGAGGCAGAAAUGGAGGAGAUCCGGGACUUACAUCAGAAUGCCCCUAAGUCGACUGAGGGUAAGACACAACAUGCUCAAUUAUUUCUUUGCAGAUGAAAAGUGUCCUUAAAAUAUGCAUUUUGAAGAGGACCAACGAUCGGUAUCUCUUUGGCCUCACUGCCCAACACAUGUUAAUACUUAAAGCAGCAUUAAUAGAUUCUCCAAUCUCCGCCCUCCAAUCAGAGGGUAAACCCAAAAUUAGAGAUUGAAACGUUGUUGCAGUGUUUCAGGGCAUUUUUCCAUCUGCAGUUUGUUUGUUCCGAUUCAGGAUUAAUAUAAUA